GGUUGAUCCUGCCAGUACAAUAUGCUUGUCUCAAAGAUUAAGCCAUGCACGUCUAAGUAUAAACAAUUUUAUACAGUGAAACUGCGUACAGCUCAUUACAUCAGUUAUUAUUUCUUUGAAGGUGAAAUUACUACAUGGAUACCCGUAGUAAUUCUAGAGCUAAUACAUGCGUGAAUCCGGUUUCAUUUCGUAUGGGAAUCGGUGUGUUUAUUAGAUCCGAGCCAGUGUUUGUACUCUUUUGGGGUACAAUUUGGUGAAUCAUGGUAACUGUAACGAAUCUUUCUGUUAAUUC
rnacentral:rRNA from 1 species